rnacentral:rRNA from 1 species
UACGUACCGUCCAAACGUUAUUCGGAUUUACUGGGCUUAAAGGGUGCGUAGGCGGCUCAGAAAGUCGGGUGUGAAAGCCCUCGGCUUAACCGAGGAAUUGCGCUCUAAACUACUGGGCUUGAGGAACGCAGAGGUAAGCGGAACUUACGGUGGAGCGGUGAAAUGCGUUGAUAUCGUAAGGAACACCAGGAGCGAAAGCGGCUUACUGGGCGUUUUCUGACGCUGAGGCACGAAAGCUAGGGGAGCGAACGGG